UAAUACGUAGGGUGCAAGCGUUGUCCGGAAUUAUUGGGCGUAAAGAGCUCGUAGGCGGUUUGUCACGUCGGAUGUGAAAACUCGGGGCUCAACCCCGAGCCUGCAUACGAUACGGGCAGACUUGAGUGUGGCAGGGGAGUCUGGAAUUCCUGGUGUAGCGGUGAAAUGCGCAGAUAUCAGGAGGAACACCGGUGGCGAAGGCGGGACUCUGUGCCAAUACUGACGCUGAGGA
rnacentral:rRNA from 1 species